rnacentral:rRNA from 1 species
AUGGCGGCGGCUCUCGGCGCGGCGGCCACGCUCCUCGGCAAGGUUUUCACGAUGCUGUCCGCCGCCCCGGUGGCGGCGUACGUGGACAGCCUCGAGCUCGGCCACAACUCGGAGCAGAUCAAGGCCAAGCUCGCGCACACGCGAGGCCUGCUGCACAACGCCCAGGCCCAGGUGAGCCACGUCGUCGACAACCCUGGACUGCAGGAGCUGCUGCCGGCGCUGAGCAGGAACGCCGACCAGGCGGAGGACCUGCUGGAUGAGCUCCACUACUUCCAGAUCCAUGACAGGCUCCACGCCACCAACUACGCCGCCACCCAGGCCAAUUUUCUCCGUCAUGCUCGCAAUGCUCUCCGCCACACUGCCACCAGCAGCUGGGCCGCAUGCUUUUCUUGUUCCUCUGCACAAGAUGAUAGUGAUUCUACCAGUGGGGAUGAUGAGUUACGUUUCCACCGAGUGAUCUUCUCCAGAAAAUUCAAAUCGGUGUUACAGGACAUGCAGACGCACUGUGAUUCCGUCUCUGAUUUGCUUGGCAAUAUCCCAAGCAACAGCAUGCCAGUUGCUGUACACCGGCCGCAGAUUGGAUCCACAAUUAUACAAGAUACAUUGUAUGGCAGGAGACACACUUUUGAGGAAACUGUCAACCGUAUCACUACACAGAUUGAGACUGUUUCUGUUCUUCCUAUAGUUGGUCCAGGGGGUAUUGGAAAAACAACUUUUGCCCAACAUCUGUAUAAUGAUGGAAGGACUGAAGAGCACUUCCAAGUCAGGGUCUGGGUGUGUGUAUCCACUGAUUUCGAUGUGCUGAAGCUCACCAGGGAGAUCCUUGCCUGCAUACCUGCAACUGAAGAAGGAGGAAGCAGCAGUGUUGCAAAUGAAACAACCAAUUUAGAUCAUCUUCAGAGAUCCAUUGUGCGCCGUCUCAAGUCCAAGAGGUUUCUAAUUGUCUUGGACGACAUAUGGAAAUGUGACGGUGUGGAUCAGUGGAGAACCCUGUUAGCUCCCUUCACAAAGGGGGAAACCAAAGGAAGCAUGCUACUUGUCACAACUCGAUUCCCAAAGCUAGCAAAAAUGAUGGAAACAAUUGAUCCACUAGAGCUGCUAGGUUUGGAGUCUAAUGACUUCUUCACAUUCUUUGAAGCAUGUAUAUUUGGUGAAGACAACAAGCCAGAGCAUUUCGAAGAUGAGUUAGCUGGUAUUGCACAAAAAAUUGCAGACAAGCUAAAGGGUUCCCCGUUGGCAGCCAAAACAGUUGGUAGACUAUUGCACAAGGACCUUUCUCAGAAACAUUGGAAUGGAGUUCUUGAAAAGCAUCAGUGGCUAAAGCAGCAAAAUAAUAAUGAUAUCAUGCCAUCUUUAAAAAUUAGCUAUGAUUGCCUCCCUUUUGAUCUGAAGAAAUGUUUUUCCUAUUGUGGCCUUUUCCCUGAAGAUCAUUGGUUUACUUCUUCAGAAAUCAAUCAUUUUUGGGUUGCAGUAGGCAUCAUAGACUCUAAUCACCAAGCUGAUAGGAAUUACUUGGAAGAACUAGUCGACAAUGGUUUUCUCAUGAAGAAGAAAAAGUAUUAUUUGGAUGAUCAAUACAAACAAAAGAAGGAAUUUGAUUGCUAUGUAAUGCAUGAUUUAAUGCAUGAGCUAUCUAAGAGUGUUUCUGCACAAGAAUGCCUCAAUAUAAGUGGCUUUGAUUUCAGAGUUGAUGCCAUCCCGCAAUCUGUUCGACACUUAUCUAUCAACAUAGAAGACAGAUAUGAUGCAAAUUUUGAGCAAGAAAUGUGUAAACUAAGGGAGAGGAUACACAUUGCUAAUCUGCGGACUUUGAUGAUUUUCAGAGGAUAUGAAGAAAGAAUCGCCAAGAUUUUGAAAGAUAGCUUCAAGGAAAUAAACAGUCUGCGUGUCCUAUUUAUAGUGGUGAAGUCGGCACAAUCUUUUCCAUAUAGGUUUUCAAAACUUAUCCACCUCCAGUACCUCAAAAUUAGUUUAUCUCUCGAUGGUGACUGGGAAAUGAGUUUACCUAGUACACUAUCAAGAUUUUAUCACUUGAAAUUCUUGGACCUUGAUCGUUGGCGUGAUAGUUCUGAUUUGCCUGAAGACUUUAGCCACCUUGAGAAUUUACAUGAUUUCCGUGCUAAAAGUGAACUCCACUCCAAUAUUCACAAUGUUGGAAAGAUGAAGCAUCUGCAGGAGCUAAAAGAAUUCCAUGUCAAGAAGGAGAGCAAGGGAUUUGAACUGUCAGAACUUGGGCCAUUGACAGAGCUUGAAGGAGGACUGACUGUACGUGGUCUUGAACACGUGGCAACCAAGGAGGAAGCUACUGCAGCCAAACUGAUGUUGAAAAGGAAUCUGAACCAGUUGGAAUUACUCUGGGACAGAGAUCAACCAACUACAGAUGCUGGUAUUCUUGAUGCUCUUCAACCACACUCUAAUCUUAGAGUACUUACAAUUGUAAAUCAUGGUGGUACCGUUGGUCCUCGUUGGUUGUGUCUUGAGAUAUGGUUAACAAGUUUAGAGACUCUCAUUCUAGAAGGCAUAUCUUGGAGCACCCUUCCACCUUUUGGGAAGCUACCAAAUCUCAAGGGACUCAAACUGAAGAGAAUUUCUGGAAUGCAUCAGUUUGGGUCUCGAUGUGGUGGUGCUCCAGGGAAAUGUUUUAUGCGCUUGAAGACAGUUGAGUUUUAUGAGAUGCCAGAACUUGCUGAAUGGGUUGUGCUACCUAAUUGCCAUUCCUUUCCAAGUCUUGAAGAAAUCAAUUGCAUCGAUUGUCCCAAUCUCCAUGUGAUGCCCUUGUCGGAGGUAUCUUGCACCAAUUUGCGCAGACUUGAAGUUUGUGACUGCCCCAAGAUGUCUCUGCCCUCCAUGCCUCACACCUCCACACUGACAGAUUUGGAGGUUAAUAGAUGUGAUUCAGAAUGGUUGUGUUAUGAUGGAAAGAAAUUGGUUGUUAGAGAGUAUGGCGGUGCUUUGGCCUCCCACAAUCUGGAUAAAGUAGAAGAUAUUGAUAUUGCAAAUGCAUCGUGCAUAUCAUUGACAGACAUCGCAAAGCUUAAAUCCCUAACAAACCUGACUAUCGAAAGAUGCGACGGUUUGUUCCGUCAAGAACUGGAUGGCAGUAUUGUCUUCCAUUCAGUUAAGAGUCUCAAAUUAGAUGUAUCUCAUCUUGCCAGCAAAUCAUCAUCUUCAAAAGUGUUAAACUGUUUCCCAGCUCUCUCUGUGUUGGUGAUAGUUGGCUAUGAGAAAUGUGUAAUGCAGUUCCCAUCAUCCAGCUCACUGCAGGAACUUACCUUAAAAAAGUGUAAGGGCCUGGUUCUUGUGCCAAUAGAGAAUGGAGGAGGAAUUCAGGAGGGCAACUCAUUGCUCCAAUCAUUAACAAUAGAGGACUGUGGCAAACUGUUCUGUCGGUGGCCCAUGGGCAUGGGAGAAUCAGAGACCAUUUACCCUUUCCCUGCUUCCCUGAGGGUACUUGAUGUUGACAAAGAGCCAAGCAUGAAGUCAAUGGCUCUGCUCUCAAACCUCACAUCUCUCACCACUCUAAGGCUAAAAGAGUGCAGUAAUUUAACAGUGGACGGAUUCAAUCCUCUCAUCGCAGCCAACCUCAUACAACUGGAAGUGAGUAGGUGCAACACCUUUGCAGCAGAUAUGCUCUCAGAGGUGGCCUCUCAGAGGGCCAAAUUAUUAUUGCCUGCGGGUUACAUCUCUAGAUUGGAGAAACUCAAUGUGGAUAACAUCUGUGGAUUGCUUGUUGCUCCUAUUUGCAACCUCCUCGCCCCGGCCCUCCACACACUUGUAUUCGAGGAUAAUAGGAUCAUGGAAAGCUUCACGGAGGAGCAAGAGAAAGCGCUGCAGCUCCUCACCUCCCUCCAGAAUCUAACAUUUUUCAGAUGCAGUGUUCUGCAGUCCCUUCCUCAAGGGUUGCAUCGCCUUUCUUCUCUCAAGGAGUUACGUGUCCUUUGGUGUGUAGAAAUCCGAUCCAUGCCCAAGGAGGGCCUCCCGGUUUCGCUGAGAGAACUACAUAUGAUUGGUUCCAGCGCUGAGGUAAACAAGCAAAUUGAGAAAAUCAAAAGAACCAACCCAGAUUUAUCCGUCAUGGAUAAGUACACCAAAGACUAG